ACGGGCGUAGUUUAAGGGUAGAAUCGCGGUCUCCAAAACCGCUGGUGGGAGUUCGAAUCUCUCCGCCCGUGCAA
rnacentral:tRNA from 1 species